rnacentral:lncRNA from 1 species
AGCAAACUCAAACAAUUCAAUACAAGUGGUUAACAAAAAUAAUUGGCAUUUAUUUAAUUAAAAAUAAUAAAAUAGUGCAUUUAAAUCAAAUAUGGUUUGUCCAAUUCCUAAAAUCUCAUCAAAACACGAAAUAAAUGGCCAUGAGAUUUAUCAUUAGUCAAACAAGGUCAAAGGACCUUGGAGAAAAAAAUUCAUAAUUUUUGGACAUUUAAGAAUAUUUUUAAAUAAUUAAAAACAAAUUCAAAAUCAAUUAAUU